CAAGACGGUUCCAUUUUACCUAUCCCCGUCGAUUUUUGUGCACCGUAUGCCGUUCUCCAGUGUCUCCGGCGAUGCUCCGGCCGAGCACACGAGCAGCAUGCAUGGCGCCACCGUGAAUGGUCGUCGGCAUCCUAUGCUGGGGCAAGGAGAUGAUGUUGCAAUCCUUAGAUCCAAAACUGAUGGUGUAGAUUAUUCCAUCAAUAACAUACCCUUUACGUAGACCCUGUCCACCGUACACCGUAGACUACAAGCUGCUUCCUCUCGGAACUUAAUCUACCGCACGCUAAAGUGGGGCCCAUCCUCAGCUCCAUCCCCUCCCGCAUCGGCCUGCUCUGCGCAACGCUGUGCGGGGCGGAGUCGAGAUCCAGGUCGUGCAGGCGGAGGCACGCAUCGCCGCCGCUGGCUUGGAAGGGGAAGGAGGGGAGGAGGCCGCUGACGGUGGCGCGGUCGGCGGGGAGGUUACUGGUGGACGCUGAGUUCCUUAGUGAGCUCAGGGAGAAGUAUGCCUUGCCACCGCCGCAGCGUGCCGUGGUGGCCAAUCUCGAGCUGGGCAUCGAGCGCCUCACCGCCGACCGCGCCGCCCCGCGCGACGUCAAGAUCCGCUCCUUCCGCUACUCCAUCCACCUCCUCGACGUCGUGGCCUCGCUCCACUCGCCGCAACCCUAUGGCGCCCCAAGAUGUUCUUCUCCUCGGACUCGGAGGCCGACGCCGAGCGCACCUCGCCCUCCGCCGCCGGCGCGGGCGCCGACCCCGGGCAGCGCCGCCCCAGGUACAAGCGCCGCAAGGUCGCCAUCCUCCCUAGGGCGGCGCCUCCUUCGCUCGAUCUCCGCCUCCUCUCUCACUCCAUCCCCCACCGGUGACGCCCCAUCCCCCGCCGGAACUCCAUCGCCAACCGUCCCGCCGAUGGUGCAUGGGCUGUAGGAAUGGGGAUCCGUGCGAACCAUCUUCUCUGGCAACAAACCGGCGACGACUGCAUCUGUUCCGGCCGCGGCAUCUGGACGUCUCUGCCUGCAAGUUUAGCAACACGCUGCCCGUGCAAGCCUUUAGGUUGUAAUUGUGGAGCUGUUGCAGUUCUGGAUAGCAAUGUUGGAUGGAUCAUCACGUGGAACAGAACAGGCUAGGCUGCUGCUGUCAAUUUAGUAUACUACCUUUUAUGUUUCCUUCAAAGGCUUGUAGAUUUUUUUUCUUUUAUUAGGAACAGUUUUUUUUUCUUUCAGAAACCUAGCCUCAAGCUCUCAGGUUGAGCGGUUAUGUCUUUGCCUGAAAAGUAAAAGCAUAGAUAUAUUAUUGUACACAACCUACUUGGAACCUGUUACCUGUCGGGCAAUGAGAAAACUACAGUGUUCAUAUCGAUUGCAUCAUUUUAUAGAAAACUAUGGAUUGUAACAUAACUACAGAAGUAUGAAAGCUUCAGGCCCUAUUGAAAUUUUUUAGUUCAUCUCAAAUGUGAGCAUGCAAAUAUGCAAUCCUCAGCGUGGUGUUCUGCAUUACUUGAUGGAGUUCUUCUUUGAUUAUGUGUUAGCAACUAUCGUCUGAAACAAGCUGCUAUGUAUUGUAACCUAAAUGCAUCUUAAAAGGCCAGCAAUAAUGUCCUUUGUCUUGUGAUCUAUAAAUACCUCUUUGUGCAAUUGGGCCUUAUAUUUGAAAAUGAUUUUACACAUGGCUUUUUUUCAUAGAUAUGUGUACAUACAAAUUCUUGAGAUAAUUAAACCUAACUUGUCUGCCUUGUAUUCUUGACAUGUCCUCUGCUGCUGAGCCUGUGAAACCGUUUGACAAACCUGCAGCUAGAGCUCUUGAGGAUAAGCCUGCUGGCGAAGUUCCAUCUGCAUAGAAGAGUCAAGUUCCUCUAAUAGCCUGGCUGGAGAUUUCGUGCGUAGUAAGUUACAGGCGGAGACGAAAGAGGGGCCAGACAAAGUGUAGAACUGGAAUAGUAUAUGGCAUUCUAGGAAGGUAACCUCUUGAAACCAGAGCAUGGUAAGGUACUGAGGUGUACCAAAAUUUUGAAAUCGCUAUGCUUUUGCAAUGGUUUAUGUUGCACAAUAGGGGCAAUCGGCAAUAGAUAUACUGAUAUACAUAGAAUUUUGGUUGUAUACUGAACGACCUUACAUGACAGUGCAUUACUAUGUGAUUGUGUUCAUUUGUAUCUAGCCAACCAUGCUUAACAUAUGGACCACGUCCAGAGAGAGGUCAGUUCUGCAUGUCUGAUACAUAACAGUCUGGCUACUUAUGCAUACAUUUUUGCUCUUAGUUUUUACCAGGUACAUUGGUUCCUGUCAUCAUCUUUGAUCUUGUCAUGUUGCUUACUGUUGCCAGAAAAUUAUAAGUUCUUUCUCGGUCUUGUAGAUAAUUAGCCGUGAUGUACUGAGACUAAUGUUUUCCAUAAACCUGGUGAAGAAUAUCCAUCAUUUUGAACUAUAUAUAAUUUGGAUUCUCUUCUUAUACUGAACCAAGUAUUUGCCAGGCCUACUGUUUGAUUCGGCAGACUGCACCAAUAGACUGAAACUUUUCUGUAGCCUUGCAAGUGCGAAAACAAUAUUUGAGUACUAACUCGCCAUUUUCCUUCUUUUAUUGGUGGUAAAUUUUAUCCCAGACUCACGGGAACUGCUUACAGGAAAGAAGUAGAAUAGCAAGCCAGUAAUAUGCUACUUUAUUUUAAGAAGAUGCGUGCUCAGAGAAAGUCAGUUCACCUAUUGUCAACUAAAGGAAGCAUUGUCAUGGAAUGGAACGGAGGGGAGUUAAGGAUUACAUGAUCCUUCAUACUUUGGGGCUCUUUUGGUUCUUGAUGGAGGGAUACUUUUGGUAACUAGCAAACUUAAACAGAACCUUUUGGUUCCACAACAUUGUUCACCACUCAAGUGGAUGUACGUGACAAAUGGUAGGUCUUGUACACAUGACAUAUGUCUUUUUUGAAAUAUAAUAAUGAACAAUUGGGACACGUUCAUGGAUGUGUAUUGGAAUGAGAUUUGGAUUUAUAUGUGCAUGACAAGUUAAUA